rnacentral:rRNA from 1 species
UACGUAGGGCGCAAGCGUUGUCCGGAAUUAUUGGGCGUAAAGAGCUCGUAGGUGGCGUGUCGCGUCUGCCGUGAAAGCCCAUGGCUUAACUGUGGGUCUGCGGUGGAUACGGGCAGGCUGGAGGCUGGUAGGGGCAAGCGGAAUUCCUGGUGUAGCGGUGAAAUGCGCAGAUAUCAGGAGGAACACCAAUAGCGAAGGCAGCUCGCUGGGACGGUACUGACGCUGAGGCGCGAAAGCGUGGGGAGCGAACAGG